AGCCGCGGUAGCUCAGUUGAUAGAGCAUUGGACUUGUUAGCCAAGGGUCGCUAGCUCGAUCCCAUCCCAGGCCA